GAUUAAAGCCAAAACCUCCUGGUCAAAGCUUGAUCUUGUCUGAUCUCAGAAGCUAAGCAGGAUUGGGCCUGGUUAGUACAGUUAGACCUUAGGCGAGGCACUUCACCCACGUUGCUUUGUAUG
rnacentral:rRNA from 1 species